rnacentral:rRNA from 1 species
GAUGAACGCUGGCGGCGUGCCUAAUACAUGCAAGUCGAGCGAAUGGAUUGAGAGCUUGCUCUUAUGAAGCUAGCGGCGGACGGGUGAGUAACACGUGGGUAACCUGCCCAUAAGACUGGGAUAACUCCGGGAAACCGGGGCUAAUACCGGAUAACAUUUUGAACCGCAUGGUUCGAAAUUGAAAGGCGGCUUCGGCUGUCACUUAUGGAUGGACCCGCGUCGCAUUAGCUAGUUGGUGAGGUAACGGCUCACCAAGGCAACGAUGCGUAGCCGACCGGAGAGGGUGAGCGGCCACACUGGGACUGAGACACGGCCAAGACUCCUACGGGAGGCAGCAGUAGGGAAUCUUCCGCAAUGGACGAAAGUCUGACGGAGCAACGCCGCGUGAGUGAUGAAGGCUUUCGGGUCGUAAAACUCUGUUGUUAGGGAAGAACAAGUGCUAGUUGAAUAAGCUGGCACCUUGACGGUACCUAACCAGAAAGCCACGGCUAACUACGUGCCAGCCGCCGCAGUAA